CACCAGACUCCUACGGGAGGCAGCAGUGGGGAAUAUUGCACAAUGGGGGAAACCCUGAUGCAGCGACGCCGCGUGGGUGAAGGAGUACUUCGGUACGUAAAGCCCUAUCAGCAGGAAAGAAAAUGACGGUACCUGACUAAGAAGCCCCGGCUAACUACGUGCCAGCAGCCGCGGUAAUACGUAGGGGGCAAGCGUUAUCCGGAUUUACUGGGUGUAAAGGGAGCGUAGACGGCAGUGCAAGUCCGGAGUGAAAGCCCGGGGCCCAACCCCGGGACUGCUCUUGGAACUGCGCGGCUGGAGUGCAGGAGGGGCAGGCGGAAUUCCUGGUGUAGCGGUGAAAUGCGUAGAUAUCAGGAGGAACACCGGUGGCGAAGGCGGCCUGCUGGACUGCGACUGACGUUGAGGCCCGAAGGCGUGGGGAGCAAACAGGAUUAGAUACCCGAGUAA
rnacentral:rRNA from 1 species